rnacentral:pre_miRNA from 1 species
AGGAGGAACAACCACAAUGGUGGCGGCCAGCUCUGGAUUCCUGGAUUCAGCUCAGGCAGUAACUACCUAGCUCUCAGUCUGCAGGGGCCUGGAUGCUCCCAGGACGG